rnacentral:rRNA from 1 species
AUGGGCGAGCAAAAAGGAGAGAAGGCAGCACCCAAGGGGACCGCAUCAAAAAAUUCAGUGUGCAUCAAAAAAUCUGAAAGAAAGGGCAAGCUGCAGUUGUCCCCCAUGCGAACUGCAGAGAGGGGGAAGCUAGGACGCCGGGGAGUGGCGCGUGCGACGGGCGUCUGGAGGUGGAGGGCUGGAUCCGAACUGCACGGGAUAGCAGUGCAGCAGAUGUGCACUGCACGCGGGGUGGAGGCGGAACGACGCGAACCCCGGGAGGAGUGCAGCUCGCCGCCGGCCGCCCUCCGCCGAACACCACGUGAGGAGCAGUCUAGCUCCACGUAG